UCUAUUGUAGUCUAGUUGGUUAGGAUACUCGGCUCUCACCGAGAAACCCAGGUUCAAUUCCUGGCAACGGAA
rnacentral:tRNA from 1 species